GGAGGAUCACUUGAGCCUUGGAGGUUGAGGCUGCAGUGAGCUGUGAUCAUACCACUGCACUCCAGCCUGAGUGACAGAGUGAGACCCUGUCU
rnacentral:miRNA from 1 species